AGCUCCAAUAGCGUAUAUUAAAGUUGUUGCAGUUAAAAAGCUCGUAGUUGGAUUUGUGGUCUCGGCGAUUCGGUCCGAUGCUCAGCAUGGGUACAUGGAUUGCCGGUCCAUCCUUGGGUGGAAUCUGUGUGGCAUUAAGUUGUCGUGCAGGGGAUGCCCAUCGUUUACUGUGAAAAAAUUAGAGUGUUCAAAGCAGGCUUAUGCCGUUGAAUAUAUUAGCAUGGAAUAAUGAGAUAGGACCUUGGUACUAUUUUGUUGGUUUGCGCACCGAGGUAAUGAUUAAUAGGGACAGUUGGGGGUAUUCGUAUUCCAUUGUCAGAGGUGAAAUUCUUGGAUUUUUGGAAGACGAACUACUGCGAAAGCAUUUACCAAGGAUGUUUUCAUUAAUCAAGAACGAAAG
rnacentral:rRNA from 1 species